GAUGAACGCUGGCGGCGUGCCUAAUACAUGCAAGUCGAGCGAACAGACGAGGAGCUUGCUCCUUUGACGUUAGCGGCGGACGGGUGAGUAACACGUGGGUAACCUACCUAUAAGACUGGGAUAACUUCGGGAAACCGGAGCUAAUACCGGAUAAUAUUUCGAACCGCAUGGUUCGAUAGUGAAAGAUGGCUUUGCUAUCACUUAUAGAUGGACCUGCGCCGUAUUAGGUAGUUGGUAAGGUAACGGCUUACCAAGGCAACGAGACGUAGCCGACCUGAGAGGGUGAUCGGCCACACUGGAGCGGAGACACGGUCCAGACGCCUGCGGGAGGCAGCAGUAGGGAAUCUUCCGCAAUGGGCGAAAGCCUGACGGAGCAACGCGGAGUGAGAGAUGAAGGUCUUCGGAGCGUAAAACUCUGUUAUGAGGGAAAAACAAACGUGUAAGUAACUGUGCACGUCGUGACGGUACCUAAUCAGAAAGCCACGGCUAACUACGUG
rnacentral:rRNA from 1 species